GGGCCCGUAGCUCAGUGGUUAGAGCUGUCGACUCAUAAUCGAUCGGUCGCAGGUUCGAAUCCUGCCGGGCCCA
rnacentral:tRNA from 1 species